rnacentral:tRNA from 2 species
GGGUAUCGCCAAGCGGUAAGGCACCGGUUUUUGAUACCGGCAUUCCCUGGUUCGAAUCCA